CCUCGCAGAGCUACCUAUUUUACUCAAUUUAUAGGUAACCCAGUAUUAGCGUGUAUUGGCUUGAAACAUCUUUGCUUUUGCGACGCCAUUCCCCAUUUUUUGUUCCAGAAGCUCACCGAAAGAGGAAGACUCGCUGCAAGAUGCCGCCGAAACCUGCGCCGAAAAAGAAAUGUGAUCGCGUUAAAAAGCUGAAUCAGCGUGAAUCGCGUCCAAAUUCAUCAGAAAAUGUGGAUCCAAAUGCUCGUUCAGCGCAUUCGCUGAAUUCGGUAAUGAUACAGGAAGAGCUGAAAAAGCUUCUCGCUAGUCAAGGAGAGCAUCUUACCCAGGCGGGAUACACUUUUG